UUAAAAUAGUUUAAAAAAAAUAUUGAUAUGUGGAAUCAAAGUUUAUAUGUUAUUUUAAUUU
rnacentral:tRNA from 1 species